rnacentral:rRNA from 1 species
GAUGAACGCUGGCGGCGCGCCUAACACAUGCAAGUCGAACGAUUAAAGCACCUUCGGGUGUGUAUAAAGUGGCGAACGGCUGGGUAACACGUGGGCAACCUGCCCCUUUCAUUGGGAUAGCCACGGGAAACCGUGGAUAAUACCGAAUACUUCGAGACUUCCGCAUGGAAGACUCGAGAAAGCUCCGGCGGAGAGGGAUGGGCCCGCGGCCUGUUAGCUUGUUGGUGGGGUAACGGCCUACCAAGGCAAUGAUGGGUAGCUGGGUUGAGAGACCGACCAGCCAGAUUGGGACUGAGACACGGCCCAGACUCCUACGGGAGGCAGCAGUGGGGAAUCUUGCACAAUGGGCGAAAGCCUGAUGCAGCGACGCCGCGUGCGGGAUGAAGGCCUUCGGGUUGUAAACCGCUUUCAGCAGGGACGAGGCGAAAGUGACGGUACCUGCAGAAGAAGCCCCGGCUAACUACGUG